AUCUGCUCCAGGAGCUCCACGUCCCUGCUGUCCUGAGGAGCCCAGAACUGGACACAGCACUCCAUCUGUGCCUCACAGCGCUGAGCAGAGGGCAGGAUCACCUCCCUGACCUGCUGGCAAUGCUCUUCCUAAUGCACUCCAGGAUUCUGUUGCCCUCCUUGGCCCCCAGGACACACUCCUGGCUCAAGGGCAGCUGGUUGUCCACCAGGACCUUCUCUUCAUUCCACCCCCACAGUAACACAUCUUCAGAUGGAUUUUAGGGAACAACUCGAGUGCUCUGGAGGAAUGUUGGGGCUCUGUUAUGAGAGGAAUUCCCCUAAGAUCCAUCCUGAUGGAGGCCAAGACCAGGGCACUGUCCCUCUCCUUCACUGAGGCUUGACCUGGGUCACCUCACCCAGCAGGAAUCGUUCCCCAAAUCCCCAUCACUGACCCUUCCUUAGGUGGUUGACAUUCCACAAGUCAAUUAAGGAAUUGCCUGCACUAAAAGGCAGCUAUAAAGUCCUGUGUGAAGAGAGCAGGAAAUAUCCAGGAUAUUCCCACUGUCCAUGGAGGUAACUCAUGAAGAUGGAGAAGGAGGUUUCCUGGCUGAGGUUAUGGCAGCAACCUAUUUUGCCUUGUUUUUGGAGAUUUCCUUGGUUCUGCUGCAAUGGAAAUAAACACACUUAACGAGACUUACCUGGUUGGAAUCAACAUCAGCACUGGAACAGACCAAGCCAAAGGUGUGUUCUUCUUUCUCUCAGUUUGUAUUUUCUGUGCAUGACAAAUUCCAACUGGGGAGCAAAUACUCAAGUUCAAGAACUUCAUCUGCAGAGUGAAACUCCUUCAUCUGUCUGUAGAUGGGCAAAAUAUAACUUAAUUGGGCUUCACCUGCCACAGACACUUCUGUGGUGUGGGAACAGCUUUGGGCUGAAUUCCACCUCCUGUGGUUCACAGAGCUGAACAAAUAAUGUCCUUGCUAGAACUUCCCUGAUUUAUGCCUGAAUUUUAGUGAGAACAACUUUAUGAGUUCUAGAGGACAAAAAGAAUCCACAAAGCAUCUUGUUUGAUGUUUCACUCAAACUCUUAUUAAAACUCAGAGGUGAACAGUUUCUAUGCUGAAAGCAACUUUCCCCUCAUGCUUAAACAUUCUGCAUCCUGGCUGUGUUUGUUGUUCUUUGUCUAGCAGCAAGAUUAAAAUCACGCAUUUUCUUCUGAAGGCAAACCUGACAAAACAGCCACUUUGUUCACUAUCCACCAUCCAGGAUGAUUUUGGACAUAAAAUUAGAAAUUCUAGCAAGCUGGGUCUAGAGACUGACACACAGGACAUCAGAUGCAGAGCUCUGAAAGCACAAAGCAGAGCUCAAUAGAUUUCUGCAGCUGCCUGGUCAGCAAAAAGCCUCCACCUAAUCCUACACAAACACAGAAUGGCAAAUCCAGAGCCACGGAGCUUUCAGGAGCAGAUAAGAAAAGAAAACCCUGAAAUUCUUGGCUUUGGUGAGUCUGUGCAGUGGCUGACCACUUCCAGAAAUGUUAGCUUCCCAAAUAAUGACCAACAAGCUAAAAAAAAAAGGCUUUAAAACUUACAUCGAUAUUGUCAUUUAUAUGUAAAGUUUAGAUCUCUCAAGGCUGUUGGCAAAAGUAGAGGAACCUGAGUGAAUUUUCAGUCCUGUUACAGCACUUUUUCAGCCAGAAAAGGAAACUGAGACAGAAUCAUUUCCAUGUAGCCACUAUUCACAGAUCUAUACUUUAUAUACAGUUUAUUUCACUAGAGAUUUUAAUUUUAUACAUAGUAUAAAGGGGUAUCCUGGUAUCACACAUAUAGUUAUUUUACUGUACUGUUUAAGAACCAAUUUUUACAUAAUACAGUAUUAAGUACCAUAUUAAUUAAAACAAGUGAUUUUUAAAAAAACCCUACAUAUAAAUGGAUGUUUAUCAUAUGCACAGUGCAAGAGUGUUUUUAUAUCCUCAUAAUCACAAAAUGUGAAUCUAAAAUACAACACUGAUUUCAAACUAAUUCAUAAUUACGAUGCCCUGUGUUGUAGACAUUGAUUAAUCUUUGUUUGAAUUACCAAGCAAUGUUAAAAUUCCAGACAAACAGCAGCAGCUUCUCAUGAUGAUUUCAAGAUUUCUUCCACAGUAACCCAAGUUUUACAAAACACUGGUUUAUCCCUACUUCUGGUCUCAACAGUGUCCUAAAGAAACAGGAGAAUGGCACAGAUUCCAUCUGGGAUUAUCUGGCAACUAAUGCUAAAUAAAUUCUUUAUUACUUCCACACAGGAAUCCUUUAAGGAUGAUCAAAGAGGUAAAGCUGGAGAGAUUUAUGGGCAGAACUCUCAGAAUUUUAGUUAUGGAGUACAGGAUUUCUCCUCUGCAAAUUGGAAGACAAUACUGUAAUAAGAAUCAGGUUGGAAUAUUUACAGAAAACCAUUGUGGAAAAGAAAGCAUUCCUAAUGUAAACACCGAGUCAGAAAGGACUUCUUCAUUUUCCCAUUGCAGAGUGGGGCACUGGAUGAACAUCAGCUAAUAAGGAACAGAUGUGUCUCCUUUAGAAGAACCACUUCACCAUCACAGGAUGCAUGUGGUGCUUGUUGAGAAUUGCUAACAGGUUUCUCCCCUCCCUCCCCCCAAAGUUUGAAGUUCAAUAAAUAGUAGAAAAAUAAUCCUUUA